rnacentral:rRNA from 1 species
AUUGAACGCUGGCGGCAUGCUUUACACAUGCAAGUCGAACGGCAGCACGGGCUUCGGCCUGGUGGCGCGUGGCGAACGGGUGAGUAAUAUAUCGGAACGUACCCAGCAGUGGGGGAUAACGUAACGAAAGUUACGCUAAUACCGCAUACGAUCUUUGGAUGAAAGCCGGGGACCGCAAGUCCUUGUGCUCCUUGAGCGGCCGAUAUCUGAUUAGCUAGUUGGUGAGGUAAAGGCUCACCAAGGCGACGAUCAGUAGCUGGUCUGAGAGGACGACCAGCCACACUGGAACUGAGACACGGUCCAGACUCCUACGGGAGGCAGCAGUGGGGAAUUUUGGACAAUGGGCGCAAGCCUGAUCCAGCAAUGCCGCGUGAGUGAAGAAGGCCUUCGGGUUGUAAAGCUCUUUUGUCAGGGAAGAAACGGUAGAGGCUAAUAUACGCUGCUCAUGACGGUACCUGAAGAAUAAGCACCGGCUAACUACGUG